rnacentral:rRNA from 1 species
GCGGCGGACGGGUGAGUAACACGUGGGUAACCUGCCUGUAAGACUGGGAUAACUCCGGGAAACCGGAGCUAAUACCGGAUAGUUCCUUGAACCGCAUGGUUCAAGGAUGAAAGACGGUUUCGGCUGUCACUUACAGAUGGACCCGCGGCGCAUUAGCUAGUUGGUGGGGUAAUGGCUCACCAAGGCGACGAUGCGUAGCCGACCUGAGAGGGUGAUCGGCCACACUGGGACUGAGACACGGCCCAGACUCCUACGGGAGGCAGCAGUAGGGAAUCUUCCGCAAUGAACAAAAGUCUGACGAACCAACGCCGCGUGAGUGAUGAAGGUUUUCGAAUCCUAAAGUUCUGUUGUUAGGAAAAAACAAAUCCAAAAGUAACUGCUCGCACUUUGCCGCAAACCU